UCCACAAAAACGAUAAGUAUGUGAUUUGUUAGGUCUGGGUGCGUGACAUAAGGACAAGAGUCCGAGAAAUAUAACCAGAACAUUUUGGGACCGAGUUUCUAGGGUUUGGUGACUGCUCUCUUCUACACCAAGUUCCAAACUUGAAAGCUUAUUUGAUUAUCACAGAUCUUGGGUUUGGUUACGUGAAGGAAAAGAUUUUCUAGGGUUCGAUGUCAGCGAUCUUCUACACCAAGUUCCAAACUUGAAAGCUUAGUUGAUUAUCAUGGAUCCUGGAUUUGGUUACGUUGACAAGAGUUUCUAGAGUUCGGUGUCAGCUGUCUUCUACAAAAAGUUCCAAACUUAAAAGCUUAGUUGAUUAUCAUGGAUCUUCAUCACUCUUCUUCUGUUGGAUCUAGAGUUGAUCAAGUUGUUUCCAUUCAGAGCCAAUUAAAACAUGAAGGUCAGGAAGCCGUUUGGAAUGGUAUUUUUGAUAACAAACCUGUAACUGUAAUGCCUAAACUCAAUCAAGAUGCUAUUGAAAGAACUUUGAUCACCCCAAGACAUAUUUUAAGCCGUAUUAUAGACACGGAAGAUAACAAAUACACGCUCUUUGAACGUUAUAUAUGCACUGUGGAAGAGUUAUUGCUGGUAAAAGCAAAACUCCUUCGUUUGGACGAUCUGCAAUGCAAGCUAGAUGAGAAGGAGCGAGAAUUGUUGGAGGAAUUUGCUUUUGCGGAUCCUAGUGGCCGCCCUAGCUCCAAGGGAGUCGACUUACUUAGGAUGUAAUUGAGGGCUUGUGGGAGAUAUAUUACCAUAAGAGAAUUCAUGGAAACUUAACGACGAAGAAUAUCGUACUUUGCAUCGGGCAGGGCAAACUGAUAUGGAAAUUAACAAGAAUUGCAGGCCAUGUCAUUAAUGAAGACGGUAGGACGAUUAUAUUUCUUUUGGUGAAGUCAUGGGAGCUUGCUUUGUUCAUGAAGGGGUCAACAAGGACAAGAUUCGUGAAGUUGACGAGUUGUGGAAUCACAUUAACAAGUUUGGAACACCAUCAGUGGGACUCCAGGAACAAAAUUGGAAAGAUGUAGUAGCAAAGACGGAAGAAGAUUUCCGUGCCGAUCCUCGAUCAUUGUUUAAGAAUCCCCUUUUUUGGACACCUGAUAUGUGCAUAACCUUUAUAAGUCACUGUAGAAUGUUCAUUGAUCUAUGUGGAAAGUGGCAAUAUUAUAGUUCAGAAGCUCUCCUGUUUACAAAUGCGAUAAAGAGAAUCCAUAUCCUUAGGAAGACACUCGAAGGGAAAUUAGUUAGAGAUUGGAGUGUAAGUCUUCCUGAGGUUAUGAAACUUGAAGUAAGACGGGGGUUAUAGAACAAAGGAGACGCCGGAGUUAAUAAGAUAUGUACGCAACGGCUAUUUUCACCUGGAGGAUAAAGAUGAAGAUUUUAAGAACGCGGUGGGAGCUCCACCUGAUGAGUAUUAUGAAUAUUUCAGAAAUUUAUUCCCUGACUUCCUUUUGGACACACACCGGGUAUGUCAAUAUUAUUUCUCACGUGUUCAAACGGAGGUCAGGUUUAGGUACCAGUUCGAAAAGUAUCUAUGAUUUUUUGCACUUCAUGAGCUUUUCAUAGUAUCCUUAAAAAAAUGUGGGAACAUCUAUGCAAUAUGGAUUGGUUGGGGGUCGAUUUUUUCCACUUCACGAGCUUUUCAUAUAGUUUUCUUAGAAAAAUGUGGGGACAACUAUGUAAUACGGAUUCGUUGGGGGUCGAUCCCUGAUCCUCAAUGAGUAACUUGGCAAUACUGGGGAGUCUUGUACUUAAGAUGUGCACACAAUUGUCAUUAUCUUUUCUCCCCUUUCAGUAAUCUAAAGAUUCUAAACCCAAUGAUUUGUGAUCUGUGAUUGUUUGUUGAAAUAAUCAAGGUUGUGGAUCUCUUGGUUGUUGAUUCCAUAAUUUCCAUUGCUCCUUUUUUAA